UAUGUGACUUGUUGUGGGGUCCUCCACAACAUCAAAUGUCUUUGUAAGAAAUGGUGGUGGUCCUACUUCAUGAAGCCCCUCCAUUGGCCGUGGAAUAACAACCGUUGAUCCCUCAUCACUUCCUCUUUCAUAUGUCAAUGAUGACGGGGUUGCUUCAAUUUCCAAAUACUCUUCUUUCACCGGGUACAAAUAGUUCAUUUUAUAAUUCACGACCUAAAAUUUGAGGGUUGCUCGAAAACAACAGAGUCGCGGUGGAGAUAGUUUGAGUUUGCUU
rnacentral:lncRNA from 1 species